AGUGGCGGGACGGGUGAGUAACGCGUGGGUAACCUGCCUCAUACAGGGGAGUAACAGUUAGAAAUGACUGCUAAUACCGCAUAAGACACAGCACCGCAUGGUGCAGGGGUAAAAACUCCGGCGGUAUGAGAUGGACCCGCGUCUGAUUAGGUAGUUGGUGGGGUAACGGCCUACCAAGCCGACGAUCAGUAGCCGACCUGAGAGGGUGACCGGCCACAUUGGGACUGAGACACGGUCCAA
rnacentral:rRNA from 1 species